rnacentral:lncRNA from 1 species
GUGGUAUCUUGACUGGAGUUGCAUUGAAUCUGCAGAUCUGCCAACCCUGUGGAGGCUCUGACCCAUGCAUAUGUGCUGCCUCGGUCCCUGGGUCAUCUUCAACCUCUCUCAGAUCGUCAGGCUGGUGGCGUCCACGGCCUCAACUUUACCUCCGUGAUGGAAGAGGGGGAUCUGAGGCUCCCAGGUGGGCCGGCGCCGCCCUACAGGAAAGGAGGGGUCCCUGAGAGGGGCUGCUGCCCUGGUGGGGUUCACAGGCCCCUCACUGCAGGGGACCCGGAGCAAGGGAUGCCCCCUGGAAUGGCCCCGUGACCGGAAAGCGAGCCUGCCCAGCUUCCCCAGGAGGAGCCUGCAGUCCACACUCGCGUAGCCACUCCGACUGGUGGCAGGGUCUCUCCCUGCUCCCUUCCAUAGUCCCGCCACAGCCCACAGCCCUGAGGAAGCCUGGGGGUGGAGGGUGCCCCGGCCAGGGUCUCUGUGACUCACACUCAGGGUGGGCCAGGCGUCCACAGGCUGGGGGCGGGCUGGAGGACAGUGGCAGCCCCAGGUGGCCACACAGCA